CAGCCGCCACGGGAAUACGUAGGUGGCAAGCGUUGUCCGGAAUUAUUGGGCGUAAAGGGCUCGCAGGCGGUUUCUUAAGUCUGAUGUGAAAGCCCCCGGCUCAACCGGGGAGGGUCAUUGGAAACUGGGAAACUUGAGUGCAGAAGAGGAGAGUGGAAUUCCAAGUGUAGCGGUGAAAUGCGUAGAGAUGUGGAGGAACACCAGUGGCGAAGGCGACUCUCUGGUCUGUAACUGACGCUGAGGAGCGAAAGCGUGGGGAGCGAACAGGAUUAGAUACCCCAGUAGUCCCUGUCUCUUAUAC
rnacentral:rRNA from 1 species